CAGAAUAUGCCAGCUGUAGAUUUCAACGACAAGACUGACUGUGAAAUUCCAUGCAAUACCAACAAUGAUGUUGCUGAAUAUGUAGCAAUUGAGGAAAACCUUGAAGAACCAGCAGUUGAAGAAAAACAUGAAGAACCAACAGUUGAGGAGAAACCUGAAGAACUAGCAGUUGAAGAGAAACCCGAAAAACCAACAAUUGAGGAGAAACAUGAAGAACCAAUAGUUGAGAAGAAACCUGAAGAACCAGUAGUUGAGGAGAAACCAGAAGAACCACUAAUUGAAGAGGAGAAAUCUGAAAGGGUAACUUUCCUAGAAAAGGUGAGGAUCAAGCAUUGUCAAAAGGUUUAUCCAUCUUAUUAGUUGUGUAUGUGCGACGAUUCACAUCUGCUUACUUAUUGAAAGACUAAGUGAAACUUCAAAAUUCUUGCAGAGUAUGCUAGUUGUAGACUCGAACGACAAGACUGACAGUGAAAUUCCAUGCAAUACCAACAAAGAUGCUGCCCACUUUCCCGAAGUUGAGGCAAACCCUGAAGAACCAGCAGUUGAAGGAAAACCUAAAGAACCCGUUGAUGAAGAGAAACCAGAUGUACCAGUGGUUGAGAAACCUGAAAAACAAAUGGUUGAGGAGAAACUUGAAGAACCAAUGAUUGAGGAGAAAUCUGACGAACUAGUCGAGGAGAAAUCUCAACAACCAGCGGCUGAAAAGAAACCUGAAGAACCAGCAGCUAAAGAAUCACUUAAAGAGCUAGCAGGGGAGGAAACAACUGAAGAACUAGCACUUGAAGAGAAACUUAGAGAACCAACAGUUGAAGAACUAGUUCUUGAAGAUAAACCUGAAAACCCAGAAAAUGAAGAGGAUAAACUUGAAACAGUAACUCUCCAGGAAAAGGUAAGAAACAAGCAGUGUCACAGAGUUUAUCCAUCCUAUUAGCUCUACAUAUGCAAUGAAUUCACAUCUGUUUAUCCACUGAAAGACUAAGUGAAACUUUAAAUUUUUCUUGCAGAAUUUACCAAUUGCAGACUCAAACGACAAGACUGACAAUGCAACUCCCUGCAAUAACAACAAUGAUAUUGCUGACUCUGCAGCAGUUAAGGAAAAAACUGAAGAACCAGUAGUUGAGGAAAAACAUGAAGAACCGGCAACUGAAGAGAAAUCUGAAGAAUCAGAAUUUAUGAAAAAAACUGAAGAACCAGCGGUUGAGGUAAAACCUGAAGAACCAUCAGUGGAAGAGAAGCCUGAAGAACCAGCGGUUAGGAAAAAUCCUGAAGAACCAGCAGUUAAUGAGGAACCUGCAAAAUCAGCAACGGAAGAGAAACCUGAAGAACCAAUUGCUGAGGAGAAACUUGAAGAACCAACUCUUAAAGAGAAACCUGGAAAACCAGUAAUUGAAGAAACACCUGAAGAACCAACACUGGAAGUAACACCUAAAGAACAAGCAGAGAAACCUGAAGAACCAGUUGAAGAGGAAAAAACUGACAAGGUAACUCUUUUGGAAAAGGUGAGCAUCAAACACUGUCACAAAUUUUUGCCAUCAUAUUAGUUCUGUAUGUGCAACAAUUCACAUCUAAUUAUCCAUUGAAAGACUAAGUGAAACUUUAAUUCUUCUUGCAGAAUAUACCAGUUGUAGAUUUCAAUGAUACGACUGACAGUGAAAUUCCAUGCAAUACCAACGACGAUGUUGCUGAAGACGUAGCAGUUGAGGAAAACCUUGAAGAACCAUCAGUUGAGGAGAAACCUGAAGAAUUAGCGGUUGAAGAGAAACCUGAAAAACCAGCAAUUGAGGAGAAACGUGAAGAACCAAUAAUUGAGAAGAAACCUAAAGAACCAGCAGUUGAGGAGAAACCUGAAGAACAAACCGUUGAAGAGAGACUUGAAGAACCAACAAUUGAAGAUGAGAAACUUGAAGAACCAACAAAUGAAGAUGAGAAACUUGAAAGGGUAACUCUCCUAGGAAAGGUGAGGAUCUAGCACUGUCACAAAGUUUGUCCAUCCUAAUAGUUUUAUACGUGCAAGACUUUCAGAUCUGCUUAUUGAAAAACUAAAUGAAACUUUAAAUUCUUCUUACAGAAUAUGCAAGUUGUAGACUCCAUCGACAAGACUGACUGUGAAAUUCCAUGCAACACCAACAAUGAUGUUGCUUACCAUCCAGCAGUUGAGGAAAAUCUAGAAAAAACAGCAAUUGUGGAAACAACUGAUGAACCAGUGGUUGAAGAGAAACCUGAUGUACCAGCGAUUAAGGAGAAACCUGAAGUACCAAAUAUUGAGCAGAAACUUGAAGAGUUAGCAGGAGAGGAAACACAUGAAGAACUAGCAGUUGAAGAGAAACUAGAAGAACCAAUUACUGAAGAGACACCUGCAGAACUAGUUAUAGAAGAGAAACCUGAAAACCCAGCAGUUGAAGAGGAGAAACCUGAAACAGACGCUCUCCAAACGAAGGUCAGGAUUAAACAUUGUCACAAAAUUUAUCCAUCCUAUUAGCUUUAUAUGUGCAAGGAACUCACAUAUGCUAAUCUAUUGAAAGACUAAGUCAAACUUUAAAUUUUUCUUGCAGAAUAUGCCAAUUGUAGACUCAAAGGACAAGAUUGACAUUGAAAGUCCAGGCAAUAUCAACAAUGAUGGUGCUGACUAUCCAGAAGUUGAAGAUAAACCUGAAGAACUAGCAGUUGAAGAAAAACAUGAAGAACAAGCAAUUGAAGAGAAGCCUGAAGAACCAGCAAUUAAGGAAAAAGCUGAUGAACCAGCAGUGCAAGAAAAACUUGAAGAACCAGCUGUGGAAAAGAAACCUGAAGAACCAGUGGCUACGGAGAAACCUGAAGAACCAGCAAUUAAGGAAAAAGCUGAUGAACCAGCAGCGCAGGAGAAACCUGAAGAACCAGCUGUGGGAAAGAAACCUGAAGAACCAGUGGCUACGGAGAAACCUAAAGAACCAGCAAUUAAGGAAAAAGCUGAUGAACCAGCAGUGCAAGAGAAACCUGAAGAACCAGCUGUGGAAAAGAUACCUGAAGAACCAGCAGUCGAGGAGAAAUUUGACGAACCAGCAGUUGGAGAGAAAUCAGAAGAACCAGUAGUUGAACAAACACCUGCAGGACCAGCAUGGGAAGAAACACCUAAAGAACUAGCAUUUGAAGAGAAACCUGAAGAACCAGCAGUUGAAGAAACACCUGAAGAACCAGCAGUUGAAGAAACACCUGAAGAACUAGCAGUUGAAAAGAACCCUGAAAAAACAGCAGUCGGAGAGAAACAUGAAAAAGUAACUCUCUUGGAAAAGGUGAGGAUCAAGCACAAUCACAAAUUUUAUCCAUCCUAUUAGUUAUGUAUGUGCAACAAUUCACAUCCGCCUGGUGGAAGAUUAAGUUAAACUUUAAUUCUUCUUGCAGAAUAUACCAAUUAUAGAGUUAAACGAGAAGAAUGACAGCUCAACUCCUUGCAAUACCAACAAUGAUGUUGCUGACUAUCUAGCAGUUGAGGAAAAACCUGAAGAACCAGCCAUUGAGAAAAAACCUGAAGAACCAAUGGCUAAGGAGAAACUUGAAGAACCGAAUGUUGAGGAUAAACCUGAAAAAUCAGUGAUAGAGGAGAAAUCUGAAAAACUAGCAACUGAAGACAUACUUGAAGAGCGAGCAGGGGAGGAAACACCUGAAGCACUAGCAGUUGAAGAGAAACCUGACGAAUCAGCAGUUGAAGAGACAGUUGAAGAACUAGCUAUUGAACAGAAAUCUAAAAAAACAGCAACUGAAAAAGAGAAACCUGAAGCCGUAACUCUCCUGGAAAAGGUGAUCAACCACUGUCACAGGGAUUCCUUGCUCUAUAUGUGCAAGGAAUUUACAUCUACUUAUCUAUUGAAAGAUUUAGUGAAACUUUAAAUUCUUCUUGCAGAAUAUGCCAGUUGUAGAUACAAAGGACGAGAUUAACAGUGAAAUUCCAUGCAAUGCCAGCAAUGAUGUUUCUGACUAUCCAGCAGUUGAGGCAAAACCUGAAGAACUAUCCGUUGAAAAAAAAUAUGAAGAACCACCAGCAGUUAUAUUGGAGAAACCUGCAGAACUAGCAGUUGAGGAGACACCUGAAAAAACACUAGUUGAAGAGAAGCCUGAAAACCCAGCAGCACGGGAAGAAACACUUGAAGAACCAGCAUUGGAAGAAACACCUGAAGAACCAACAGUUGAAGAGAAACCUGAAGAAGUAGUAGUUGAAGAAAAACUUGAUAAACCAGCAACUGAAAAAGAGAAACCUGAAAAGGUAACUUUCUGCGAAAAGGUGAGGAUCAAGCACUACCACAAAGUUUGCCAAUCCUAAUAGUUUGUAUGUGCAAGGAAUUCACAUAUGCUUAUUUAUUGAAAGACUAAGUGAAACCUUAAAUUCUUCUUGUAGAAUAUGCCUGUUGUAGACUCAAAUGGUAAGACUGGCAGUAAAAUUACAUGCAACACCAAUAAAGAUGUUGCUGAUAAUCCAGCAGUUGAGGAUGAAGAACCAGAAGUUGAGGAGAAACCUGAAGAACCAACAGUUGAAGAAAAACCUGAGGAACCAGCAAUGGAAGGAAAACUUGAGAAACUGGCAGUUGAAGAUAAACUUGAGGAACGAGCAGUUGAACAGAACCCUGAGGAAACAGCAGUUGAACCUGAAGAACCAACAGUUGAAGAAAAACCUGAAGAACCAGCAAUGGAAGGAAAACUUGAGAAACUGGCAGUUGAAGAUAAACUUGAGGAACGAGCAGUUGAAAAGAACACUGAGGAAACACCAGUUGAAGAAAAACUUGAGGAACCAGUAGUUGACAAAAAAGCUGAAGAACUAGCGGUUGAAGAGAAACUUGAAGAACCAUUAGUUAAAGAAAAGCCGGAAGAACAAAGCAGGGAAGUAACUGAAGCUCCCAUAAAAGAGGCAAAGCUUAACCAGAAUGCAAAUGAAGCAAGCAGCAGUCUGCCAACAGCUAUUCUAAGCCAUCCGCCUGCUCAAGGG
rnacentral:lncRNA from 1 species